CGGGGAACCGGAAGCAUAGAAGAAGAAAACACAGGAGAAGGAAAAAAACGGGGUACCUCGUGCUGCGGCAAGAAGACAGUGAGCGUGAAAAGACAGUAAAAGUGAUCACGGCAAAUCCCCUUGGGCCUGGAUAGCUGUCCUUCGUUUCAGUGGAUUGCCGAGGAGUUCAUGAGUGACCUGGAUCACGAGGGAGUGAGUUGAGCCGUGUUUCCAGGACAGAACAGUGCACGCUGCACUAAGCUAACGUGGAAGCUAGGGCCCGUGAGUCUGACUGUUUUACCUCGUUACGAGCGGCACGGAGAAGAGACGUGUCGCCAGUGAAGGACCAGCAGUUGGAGAUGACCGGGAAGAGGGAUUCUGUUGCACAUGACUUUUUCCUGCGAAGAUGAGGAAUAACUGCAGACUGGUAUGAUCACGGCACCCAAAUUAGUUCCAUUCAUUUGAGCUCCAAGGCGCGCCAACAGUCUAAACUGCAAGCUUGCAUUAA